GCGGUCCUGGGCAGCGGCUGCAGUGUGUCUGAUGGCUGUACACUGCCGCUGGCCCGUUUGGACCCAGACUAUAACAGGAGGAGGCUGAUAGUCCUUCCUGGCAGUUGCAGGUGUGAGCAUGCAUACAGCUGUUUGAUGCUCAUGUAUGAUACUGCACACAAAC
rnacentral:snoRNA from 1 species